GAUAGACAGGAUUUCAUGGAGACAUGUGACCAGUUAUAUAAGCACCCAAAGCUUUAUAAGUCUGCAAGUGUCUGAAGAGCAGUGGCAGAUCCGUCUGGUGUGUGUGUGUGUGAGUGUGUGUGGACGGGAGCUUCUCUGGCAGCUGAGAUGUUCUUCCGCAUUCCUCUCCUGACGCCUGGAUACAUUCGAUACCUGCAGACUCAAGCGGCGCGGACCGGCCUGCAGAGGGAGGGCCCCGCUGUACCCCGCUUUGCCAUGUUGCUGGGCCUUGUGGGUAUUGGGAUGUCAGGAUACAGCUCUCGCCAGCUGACCUUGUACCACAAGCCAUCGCCACAUCUCCUGCGGUGAAACACAAUGCAGAGAAAACACAUCGCUUUUGUUUAGAGGUGCGUUCUUUCUUAAACGGACUGAACAACCCAAAUAUCAUCAUUAUAGUUUUACCAAAUCAUGCUGAAGCUCAUAGUCUUGCUUUGGGUGCGAGGAUGGCCGAUCCUCAGCCAAGCUCUCCCAAACUUGUUCUCUGGCAACAAUGGAGUGAAUUAAAUUAAAUUAUUUAGUGAGCAUCCUUCUGAAUCAUAAAAUGACAGAGGGGAUAAUAUAUGGCCUUUGGUGGACCUCAAGGAUGUCUCAAAGGCUUCUUCAGUUCACCAUUUGGGACAGGGGUCCACUUAGCACUGGGUUAUAUUUUUGAUAUAAUCCCAUUUAUGCACCUAAAGUUCAUAGACCACCACAAGCUCCACAGUCAAAAAAUCCAGCAGCCAACAAAACUAGCACAGCUGUCACAGCGCAAACAUUAUGCAGAAGUAUGACUUCAGUUUAUUGAUUUUCUUAAAGUAAUCUUAAAAAACAUAUUACUCUAAUGAAGAGAGCGAUAUCUGCAGGUCACCUUCAUAAGCUGUGAGUCACUAUUUACAAGACAGGGCGUCAUCCUUAAAAUACACUGAGUAUUUAAUACCCCAUAUGUCUAAAGCAAACAUGCAGGAAAUAAAAGAUUAUAUAUAUAUAUAUAUAUAUAUAUAUACACACACACACAAACACACACACACACACACACACACACACACAUAAUUUAUUAUAUAUUGUCAUACUUGAGUUUUUUAGUUCAAAUGUACAGUACAUAUAAUGUAAAUGUAAAUAAGUUGAUUAAAUUCAUAUAUUUAUAUUUGAAAUGUAUUUCAUGCUAUAUAAAUUGCUAAGUAUAUAUGUGACCCCUGGAGCACAAAAUCAGUUAUAAGCAGCACAGGUAUAAGAGUAGCAAUAGUCAAAAUACAUUGCAUGGGCCAGAAAUAGCUAUUUUUCUUUUAUGCCAAAAAUAAUUCUGAUGUUAAAUAAGGAUCAUGUUCCAUGAAUAUAUUUUUUAAAUAUACAUCCCAUAAAAAUAUCAAAAUGUAAUUUUUGAUUAGCAAUAUGCAUUGCUAAGAACUUCAUUUGGACAACUUUAAAGGCAAUUUUCUCUCUUGUUUUUUUUUUUUUUUUUUUUUGUGCAAAUUUUCAAAUAGUUGUAUCUCAUCCAAACAUUGUCCUAUUCUAGCAAACCAUACAUCAAUGGAAAGCUUAUUUAUUCAGAUGAUGUAUACAUCUCAAUUAAAAAUAAAUAAAUGGACCCUUCUGACUGGUUUUGUGGUCCAGGGUCACAUGUUUAGGAGUUCUUUAGCUUUGAGAGUAGGACAGUGUUUUUUGAUGGGCCUCCAGGCUUUCCAUUCACAAGCGUGUACAGAAUUCCUCACCUGGCUUUUCUCUUCCAAUAUGGGUCUGGCAUUCUGGUUUGCCAACCUCAGUGUCACCCAGACAGCAGGAGUGAAUUUGCACCACCAAAAUAGCCCAUGAAGGACACUGACCUAUCAGAAACUCUCUCCUAACUAGACAUCUGAUCAAAACAAUCUCAUAAAAGUGUUUAUUUAUGGAGGAAAACAAUGUGUUUUUUGGCAUUGAUGUAUGUAAUGGAUGUCUCACCGACAGCGAAAUGUCAUUGGUUUUGUGAAUGGGACAUGAUUGAUGUCAUGACGUCUCAGACAGACACUCAAGAAGAAUAAGAGCUUAUGUUCUUAAAAGGGUCUAAUCGGCUCAUCCAAUUACAGUUGGCUGUUAAUGCAAGGUCAAAGGCUUUUAUUUAGCAAACAAACAGUUGGCCACUCAAACAGUGACAUUGUGUGGUUUAGAUUCGUUGUGAACGCUCUGACUGAUUUGCAGUGAUUUGUUUUAUUGUUGAGAUUCUCUACAAUGACUGUUAAGAUUGUGACUAUUUUUGCACUUUGACGGCAGGAUUGAUUGUAUUUUCAAUGCUCUUUUUAAAAGAAGAGAGAAUAUGUUAUGUUGUAAUAUAUCUGUAUUUAUUUACAAAAUAAAAUAUUCAAGCACUUAAA